AGUGAACGCUGGCGGUAGGCCUAACACAUGCAAGUCGAACGGCAGCACAGUAAGAGCUUGCUCUUACGGGUGGCGAGUGGCGGACGGGUGAGGAAUACAUCGGAAUCUACUUUUUCGUGGGGGAUAACGUAGGGAAACUUACGCUAAUACCGCAUACGACCUACGGGUGAAAGCAGGGGAUCUUCGUACCUUGCGCGAUUGAAUGAGCCGAUGUCGGAUUAGCUAGUUGGCGGGGUAAAGGCCCACCAAGGCGACGAUCCGUAGCUGGUCUGAGAGGAUGAUCAGCGACACUGGAACUGAGACACGGUACAGACUCCUACGGGAGGCAGAAGUGGGGAAUAUUGGACAAUGGGCGCAAGACUGAUCCAGCCAUACCGCGUGGGUGAAGAAGGCCUUCGGGUUGUAAAGCCCUUUUGUUGGGAAAGAAAAGCAGCAGGUUAAUACCCCGCUGUUCUGACGGUACCCAAAGAAUAAGCACCGGCUAACUUCGUG
rnacentral:rRNA from 1 species